CUCGUAGGCGGCCAACUAAGUCAGACGUGAAAUCCCUAGGCUCAACCUAGGAACUGCGUCUGAUACUGGAUGGCUUGAAUCCGGGAGAGGGAUGCAGAAUUCCAGGUGUAGCGGUGAAAUGCGUAGAUAUCUGGAGGAAUACCGGUGGCGAAGGCGGCAUCCUGGACCGGCAUUGACGCUGAGGAGCGAAAGCCAGGGGAGACCGAAAACGG
rnacentral:rRNA from 1 species